rnacentral:rRNA from 1 species
UACGUAGGGGCCUAGCGUUGUCCGGAAUUAUUGGGCGUAAAGAGCUCGUAGGUGGUUCGGCAAGUCGGAUGUGAAAUCUCCACGCUUAACGUGGAGGGGCCAUUCGAAACUGCUGUGACUCGAGUCCGGUAGGGGAGUGUGGAAUUCCCGGUGUAGCGGUGAAAUGCGCAGAUAUCGGGAGGAACACCAGUAGCGAAGGCGGCACUCUGGGCCGGUACUGACGCUGAGGAGCGAAAGCGUGGGGAGCGAACAGG